GACGAACGCUGGCGGUGUGCUUAACACAUGCAAGUCGAACGGUAAGGCCCUUUCGGGGGUACACGAGUAGCGAACGGGUGAGUAACACGUGAGUAACCUGCCCUCAUCUCUGGGAUAACAGUCGGAAACGGUUGCUAAUACUGGAUAUGAGCUUGCAAGGCAUCUUGUGGGUUGGAAAGAUUUUUUUUGGUUGGGGAUGGACUCGCGGCCUAUCAGCUUGUUGGUGAGGUAGUGGCUCACCAAGGCUUCGACGGGUAGCCGGCCUGAGAGGGCGACCAGCCACAGUGGGACUGAGAUACGGCCCAAACUCCUACGGGAGGCAGCAGUGGGGAAUAUUGCACAAUGGACGGAAGUCUGAUGCAGCAACGCCGCGUGCGGGAUGACGGCCUUCGGGUUGUAAACCGCUUUCAAUUGUGACGAAGCUUUUUUGUGACGGUAGCAGUAGAAGAAGCACCGGCUAACUACGUG
rnacentral:rRNA from 1 species